rnacentral:rRNA from 1 species
GACGAACGCUGGCGGCGUGCUUAACACAUGCAAGUCGAACGGAAAGGCCCUGCUUUUGUGGGGUGCUCGAGUGGCGAACGGGUGAGUAACACGUGAGUAACCUGCCCUUGACUUUGGGAUAACUUCAGGAAACUGGGGCUAAUACCGGAUAGGAGCUCCUGCUGCAUGGUGGGGGUUGGAAAGUUUCGGCGGUUGGGGAUGGACUCGCGGGUUAUCAGCUUGUUGGUGUGGUAGUGGCUUACCAAGGCUUUGACGGGUAGCCGGCCUGAGAGGGUGACCGGCCACAUUGGGACUGAGAUACGGCCCAGACUCCUACGGGAGGCAGCAGUGGGGAAUAUUGCACAAUGGGCGGAAGCCUGAUGCAGCAACGCCGCGUGCGGGAUGACGGCCUUCGGGUUGUAAACCGCUUUCGCCUGUGACGAAGCGUGAGUGACGGUAAUGGGUAAAGAAGCACCGGCUAACUACGUG